GACGUAGGUGGCGAACGUUAUCCGGAAUUAUUGGGCGUAAAGGGUGCGUAGGUGGCCUGACAAGUUAUCAGUGGCAAAUCGAGGCUCAACCUCGUGGAAACUGGUAAUACUGUUCGGCUUGAGUACAGGAGAGGUUAACGGAACUCUAUGUGGAGCGGUAAAACGCACAGAUAUAUAGAAGAACAUCAAUAAAGGCGAAGGCAGUUAACUAUUCUGUUACUGACGCUGAGGCACGAAAGCGUGGGGAGCAAAACGG
rnacentral:rRNA from 1 species